AUUAAUUAUAAUUAUAAUAAUAUAUAAUAUAUAAUAAGAUAUAAACAAUAAUUAUAUAACAUAUAUAAAUAUAUAGAUAUAGAUAGAUACAUGAAUACAAUUAAAAAAACGGAGGAAACCCUUCAGUUUAAGCAUUCCACCGCUUCUCAUAACACGACUUCCUUCUCUAACAUGCUUCUAACAAGACGACGCCGAUUUUGUUCACCACCGUUGCCAUUCCACCCUCGUCUGUUAUUAACAACUGUCGUCGAUUAUUCUCUGGUCUUCUUCUUCACUAAGAAAGUGCAAGGGCUGCCAUAAGCCUUUCUAGAACUAUGUUGGGAUAUUACCCGUUGAGAGUGUUUCCUUCCAAAACCGCCAUCGCACUUGUCAAUCUGACAUUUGUGCACUUGUCAAUCCGACAUUUUUGCCCAGUGCUGCGUUUUUCAGUCUGAAGAUGAAAGUGAGAUGUGCUCUAGAAAAAGCUGACUCAAGUUGAUGUGAAACACUUCUUUGAAUCUAUCUAUGGAGAGGUUUGUAGUUUAUGUGUGGAAUUAAGCUUAUAAUGCGUAUUGUUGUUUGAAUAAUUAGUAAGUGAGAUAUUUUCCUAUGGAGCAGGCACACGGACACAAGACACGGCACCGACACUGUCUACACCAGUAAUAAUUUGAAAAAGUGAAUAAAUUGAACCUAAUCACGUUUGUCGGUAUCGGACACGGACACAUGCCGGACACCGGACACGCCUCAGCUGAGAGGUAUGGGUGGUGUCGGUGCUACAAAUAUAUUUUCUAUAAAAAUUUUGUUCCAUGGUAAUUCAAUCCUUUAAUUUAAACAUCCUCUAUUGCUUUAUGAAUUUAUAGAUCUGACACCAACUUGAAACUAGAGUUAAGAUUGAUUUGAGUUGCCUGAGAGGUUAACCCUCAAUCUGUUUAUUUAUACUAAUUAGUAGGUACCACCCACCUCUUAAUUUUAGGGACAAAUCCAUAAUUAAAUCUGAUCUAAAUCAAUUUACAACAGAAUAUUCACAUAAUAUCUCAACAGUUUGAAAUGUUCCAACUGAUGAACGAAAAAUAACAAGUGGUAGAAUUUUGUUAUGUUAAUAAAUGUAGUUGUGAUUAGUGAUAACAUACAUGAUUGAUAGGUUGUUUCAUCCUAUUCAAGCCAUGCUAGUGCUCCUUUUGCAAUUGGCUAUGUCUGUGUUCUCAUUACAUCUCAGGUACACCCUGUUUAAUCUCUAGUCUCUCGGCUUAUUUAGGACUUGGGAGGAUGGCAUAUGAUUAAUAUUUUAAGGAAGCAUAGAGUAGUUUUCAAAAACAAUAAAGAGGACAUAGAAAUUUAUGAUGUUAGCUUUAUGAGCCCAUAUAAGCCAGUUUCAACAAAUUUUUGUAAACUUCUUAGAAUAGCUUAGGGCUUAUGUAAAGUUUUCUAUUACUCACUCUUUGAUUGUAGAAACUACUUAAAUAUAAGCACCUAUACGACAUGCUUAACUAAAUUUUUUAUUCCAAAUGUACUCCUUAGAAAUUGUAUGAUUUCUUUUUGUAUUAAUUCUUCUUGAAUAGAGUUGAUUAACUAAUUACUGUCAGCAGCUUGUCUCUGGAAUUACAUUUCUGGUUGGAUUGGACAAACUGUAUUCUGGCACCUUUAAUGGGACACUUCAGACAUGUGGCUAAAGAAGAUAGAGAGACAUCUUUCAUUAUUUUCUACAUGAGAUCUCAUGAAGAAUUGUUUGGCUAGCUAGAUGCAUAAUUAUAAAUGAAGUAGUUUUUAUCUUUCUGAAUUCAAUAUAGUUGGGGUUAGUUCAGUUAUAAGUGAAGAAUUUUGAUAUGCAUGUAAUCUUAUAUUGUUUAAUUUUUCGAAUUUCUUA